GGGCGGGUGGUGGAACGGCAGACACAUCGGACUUAAAAUCCGAUGGGGCCUCACGGCCCCAUAGGGGUUCGAAUCCCCUCCCGCCCACCA
rnacentral:tRNA from 1 species